rnacentral:lncRNA from 1 species
UAAAAUUUCAGCCUGUUUUUUUUAUUUUGUAUCACAAAUAUGAUUAUAUAACUAGAAUUCACAUAUAUCACACAGAUCCACAUAUAUAUCACACAAAUCCACAUAUAUAGCACACAUAAACCAUAAUAAAUGAGUUCAACAAGUCCAUCAUCCAACAAAUCAUACUAAGUGUGCAAAACCAACAUCAAACAUCCAACAUGGUGUGCUAAACCAACAUCCAACAUCCUGCAAAGUAGAAGAACCACAUAGCUAGUC